CAAGGAAUUUUCCGCAAUGGGCGCAAGCCUGACGGAGCAACGCCGCGUGGACGAGGACGCUUUUCGGAGUGUAAAGUCCUUUUCACGAGGAAGAAGACAGACGGUACUCGUGGAAGAAGCAUCGGCUAACUACGUGCCAGCAGCCGCGGUAAUACGUAGGAUGCAAGCGUUGUCCGGAUUUACUGGGCGUAAAGCGUGUGCAGGCGGAUGGCCAGGUAGAUUGUGAAAGCCCCCGGCUUAACUGGGGAGGGUCAGUCUAAACCGGUCGUCUGGAAGCAGACAGAGGAGUAGGGAAUUCCCGGUGUAGUGGUGAAAUGCGUAGAUAUCGGGAGGAACACCAGCGGCGAAGGCGCUACUCUGGGUCUGGCUUGACGCUCAGACACGAAGGCGAGGGGAGCGAACAGGAUUAGAUACCCCCGUAGUCC
rnacentral:rRNA from 1 species